rnacentral:rRNA from 1 species
AUUGAACGCUGGCGGCAUGCCUUACACAUGCAAGUCGAACGGCAGCACGGGAGCAAUCCUGGUGGCGAGUGGCGAACGGGUGAGUAAAGUAUCGGAACGUGCCCAGUCGUGGGGGAUAACGUAGCGAAAGUUACGCUAAUACCGCAUACGAUCUAUGGAUGAAAGCGGGGGAUCGCAAGACAUCGCGCGAUUGGAGCGGCCGAUAUCAGAUUAGGUAGGUGGUGGGGUAAAGGCUCACCAAGCCGACGAUCUGUAGCUGGUCUGAGAGGACGACCAGCCACCCUGGGACUGAGACACGGCCCAGACUCCUACGGGAGGCAGCAGUGGGGAAUUUUGGACAAUGGGCGCAAGCCUGAUCCAGCCAUGCCGCGUGCAGGAUGAAGGCCUUCGGGUUGUAAACUGCUUUUGUACGGAACGAAAAGGUUUGGCUUAAUACGUUGAACUCAUGACGGUACCGUAAGAAUAAGCACCGGCUAACUACGUGCCAGCCGCCGCCGUAA